AUUGAACGCUGGCGGCAGGCCUAACACAUGCAAGUCGAACGAGCGGCGGACGGGUGAGUAAUGUCUGGGGAACUGCCCGAUAGAGGGGGAUAACUACUGGAAACGGUAGCUAAUACCGCAUACCAUCGGAUGUGCCCAGAUGGGAUUAGCUAGUAGGUGGGGUAAUGGCUCACCUAGGCGACGAUCCCUAGCUGGUCUGAGAGGAUGACAAGCCACACGGGAACUGAGACACGGGCCAGACUCCUACGGGAGGCAGCAGUGGGGAAUAUUGCACAAUGGGCGCAAGCCUGAUGCAGCCAUGCCGCGUGUAUGAAGAAGGCCUUCGGGUUGUAAAGUACUUUCAGCGAGGAGGCGUUACUCGCAGAAGAAGCACCGGCUAACUCCGUGCCAGCAGCCGCGGUAAUAC
rnacentral:rRNA from 1 species